UCUAUAACAGGUCACCUGAGGAUGCCUUGUCAUGGAUUAAUGUUCUCUUUACUAUUGACCCUGACACUAAGGAAAAUGGAGCCAGCCGUGAAUACCUUCUGGGGAAAAGUUAUCAGUGGAUGCCAUUAAUGGACAGAUCACAAGGCCCCAAUGAUCCGUUCUGUGACAAGACACUUUACAUCAGCCAAAGGACCACAUUGCUGUUACCUGUCUUCUCUUGACUGACUCACCACACUUUAUAAAUCCUAAACCCCAGUCUGAGAGUCAGCUGAUUUUUAAAAAAAAUUAUUUACUUAAAUAAUUUCUUUGUUUAUUUACUGGAUAGAGACAAAGAUACAUUGAGAGUGGGGAGAAAGGGAGAGAGAAAGAGACACCUGCAGCUCUGCUUUACUGAAGAGAUUUCCUCUUGCAGAUGAGGACAAGGGGUUUGAACCCAGAUCCUUGAUCAUUGUAGUAUGUCUGCUCAAUUAGGUGCAACAUCACAUGGCCCUAGGAAGAUUUUUUUUUUUAAGGAAAACUGAUUUUUUAAAUCUUGAGACUUAGGAAAUCAAGAAUUGUAAUACUAUAUGUUAGGGGCCAUGAUGAAAGGACUCUGUUUUAUUACUGGUGGAAAUGAAAAGUAGUGCAGUCCCUGUGGAAGACUGUGUAGAGAGUCCUCAAAUGAAAAUGAAGCCGUGUG